rnacentral:rRNA from 1 species
ACUCCUACGGGAGGCAGCAGUGGGGAAUAUUGCACAAUGGGCGCAAGCCUGAUGCAGCCAUGCCGCGUGUGUGAAGAAGGCCUUCGGGUUGUAAAGCACUUUCAGCAGUGAGGAAGGCGGAGUCGUUAAUAGCGGCCUCGUUUGACGUUAGCUGCAGAAGAAGCACCGGCUAACUCCGUGCCAGCAGCCGCGGUAAUACGGAGGGUGCGAGCGUUAAUCGGAAUUACUGGGCGUAAAGCGCAUGCAGGUGGUUUGUUAAGUCAGAUGUGAAAGCCCGGGGCGUCAACCUCGGAAUAGCAUUUGAAACUGGCAGACUAGAGUCUUGUAGAGGGGGGUAGAAUUUCAGGUGUAGCGGUGAAAUGCUAGAGAUCUGAAGAAUACCAGUGCGAAGGCGGCCCCUGGACAAGACUGACGCUCAGAUGCGAAAGCUGGGGA